AGUGAUUCGACAAUCCAUCUAGAGUAUGCCAAGAAAUGUUCCGAAAACGUGGGGGCUUCUGGAAGAUGCUUUCCCCUGGAAAGCCAGUCGUUGAUAUCUGACAUGGACUUCGACUCACUUGUUGGUGAGUGCUUCCACCCCCUACGAAGUAUGAAGACAUGAAUGGACAAGCCAUGAAAAGUGAAUGAAACAUGCAGCAUCACUACAAUCCUGAGACAAAACCAUGGAAUGGAGGUCUCGGGUUCUUCGAGGCCGAGGAAAUUCAACACUCCACGAUCCGGUUUCGAAAGGUCAUGGUCACGGUUUUCUGGGACAAGCAAUGUGUUUUGAUGGCUGACCUCCAGAAGGGUGAAACAGUUAAUGCAGCAUAUUACUGGUGCACCGGCUCACAAAGCAGUCAAGACAAUGCAGGUUCUAAAGGCCUUGCGAUUUCAAUGCACUGAACAUCCACCGUACUCGCCGGAUCAUGCCGCAUCGGAGUCUU